CCUACGGGUGACAGCAGUGAGGAAUAUUGGUCAAUGGGCGAGAGCCUGAACCAGCCAAGUCGCGUGAGGGAGUACUGCCCUAUGGGUUGUAAACCUCUUUUGUCGGGGAGCAAAAGCCGGACGUGUCCGGCUGUGAGAGUACCCGAAGAAAAAGCAUCGGCAAACUCCGUGCCAGCAGCCGCGGUAAUACGGAGGAGGCGAGCGUUAUCCGGGUUUAUUGGGGUUAAAGGGUGCGCAGGCGGAUUUUUAAGUCAGCGGUAAAAUCGUGGGGCUCAACCCCAUCCAGCCGUUGAAACUUGGGAUCUAGAGUGUGCGAGAGGUAUGGUGAAGGCGUGGUGUAGCGGUGAAAUGCAUAGAUAUCACGCAGAACCCCGAUUGCGAAGGCAGCAUACCGGUGCACAACUGACGCUCAGGCACGAAAGCGUGGGUAUCGAACAGGAUUAGAGACCCGAGUAGUC
rnacentral:rRNA from 1 species